GAGUACACUGGCUUUUAGACUAAUAUGAUUUCUAUAUCUUCUUUACAGAUCAGAAUACCACAGCUUUUAAAGAGGUAGCAAUUAUACGUCAUCCACGUGUUGGUGAAUAUGCUUUUGGUUUCAUCACAUCCACUGUCACUCUUCAGAAAGAUGACGAAGAUGAAGAGCUAUGUAGUAUAUUUGUACCAACAAACCAUCUGUAUAUUGGUGAUAUAUUCCUUGUUAAUUCCAAAGAUAUUAUAAGGCCAAAUUUGUCAAUUCGAGAAGGCAUAGAGAUCAUUGUUUCUGGAGGAAUGACAAUGCCUCAAAUCAUUUCUCCUAUUGAAAGAGUUGCUCGGCAAGGGGAAAGAAUCCCAAUGAACAGAAUGACAUAAUUCAUCAUCAAAUAGGCAUAUAUGCCAGGCAUCGGUAAUUACUUGAAUUGCAAUUGCACAAUUCAUUCACAUAGGAAGGUUUGUUCUGGUCGUGGGUUGCUCGAAAUAGAAAGAUAAAACUACCAUGUUGAGUUAGAUUUUGUAAGUAACAGCAAUCUAGUCUAUUUUAAUUUCGAUGCGGCAUACCUUCCGCAAGUUUGUAUUCUAUCAUAAGAAACAACUUUUUCAGUCUAAAGAGAGAGGAACUCUCUCUCUCUCUCUCUCUGACUAUGAGAAAAGAUUCAUUAAAAUUUAUUUGUAGUGAUUAAAAUUUUAUUAUUCUCAAGAAUGGAUGUAGUGUUGAUGAUUCUUCUUUCGUAAUAUUAUAAAGGAUAUAUUACACAGUA